rnacentral:snoRNA from 1 species
CCCAGCUGCAGGCAGCUGCCUUGGUUGCCUUGUACUUAGGUAAGCAUUCCACUGCUGCGAGAAAAGCAGCUAACAGCUGGCUGGCAUCCUGGGCCUGGUGAAUGCCAAAUUUGUGUUAACCAUACCAAUGUGCCAGCAUACU